rnacentral:rRNA from 1 species
GACGAACGCUGGCGGCGUGCUUAACACAUGCAAGUCGAACGGAAAGGCCCUGCUUUUGUGGGGUGCUCGAGUGGCGAACGGGUGAGUAACACGUGAGUAACCUGCCCUUGACUUUGGGAUAACUUCAGGAAACUGGGGCUAAUACCGGAUAGGAGCUCCUGCUGCAUGGUGGGGGUUGGAAAGUUUCGGCGGUUGGGGCUGGACUCGCGGCUUAUCAGCUUGUUGGGGGGGUAGUGGCUUACCAAGGCUUUGACGGGUAGCCGGCCUGAGAGGGUGACCGGCCACAUUGGGCCUGAGAUACGGCCCAGAAUCCUACGGGAGGCAGCAGUGGGGAAUAUUGCACAAUGGGCGGAAGCCUGAUGCAGCAACGCCGCGUGCGGGAUGACGGCCUUCGGGUUGUAAACCGCUUUCGCCUGUGACGAAGCGUGAGUGACGGUAAUGGGUAAAGAAGCACCGGCUAACUACGUG